rnacentral:rRNA from 1 species
AACGAACGCUGGCGGCAUGCCUAACACAUGCAAGUCGAACGCCCCGCAAGGGGAGUGGCGAACGGGUGAGUAACGCGUGGGAACCUACCCAGCAGUUGGGGAUAACCGCGGGAAACUGCGGCUAAUACCGAAUACGUCCUAAGGGAGAAAGAUUUAUCGCUGUUGGAGGGGCCCGCGUCGGAUUAGCUAGUUGGUGAGGUAACGGCUCACCAAGGCGACGAUCCGUAGCUGGUCUGAGAGGAUGAUCAGCCACACUGGGACUUAGACACGGCCCAGACUCCUACGGGAGGCAGCAGUGGGGAAUAUUGGACAAUGGGGCAACCCUGAUCCAGCAAUGCCGCGUGAGUGAUGAAGGCCUUAGGGUUGUAAAGCUCUUUUACCGGGGACGAUGAUGACGGUACCCGGAGAAUAAGCCCCGGCUAACUACGUGCCAGCAGCCGCCGUAACAC